rnacentral:lncRNA from 1 species
AAUUCCAGCAUGACAUCACAGAAAUAAAUGAGAUCUUCAAGGAGCUUGGUGCGCUGGUACAUGAACAAGGGGAAGUUAUAAGUAAGUUUUAGAUUUAUAUUCAAUUAUACAUAUCUGAUGUGAAACUAUUGUUUAUCAACUGUUCAGUCAAUUACACAAUUGUUUUCUGUAAUGCUGUUUAUUAACGGUUCAGUCAAUUACUUAAUAAUUGUUUUCUGUAAUGCUGUUAUCAACUGUUCAUCAAUUACUUAAUUGUUUUCUGUAAUGCUGUUUAAUCAACGGUUCAGUCAAUUACUUAAUUGUUUUCUGUAAUGCUGCUUAUCAACGGUUCAGUCAAUUACUUAAUUGUUUUCUGUAAUGCUGUUUAUCAACGGUUCAGUCAAUUACUUAAUUGUUUUCUGUAAUGCUGUUUAUCAACGGUUCAGUCAAUUACUUAAUUGUUUUCUGUAAUGCUGUUUAUUAACGGUUCAGUGUUGUGUCACACAAAGAACCGUAACCAAACGUUUGUAUUUUAAAGCAUUUUAAGAUAAAUCUUUUUUUUAGAUGUUAUUUUUUAUAUCUUAAAUAAUCCGUACGGUGACCUAUAUUUGUUAAUGUCUGUGUCAUUUUGGUCUUUUGUGGAUAGUUGUCUCAUUGGCAAUCAUACCACAUCUUCUAUUUUAUAUUAACUACAGAUACGAUAGAUGACAAUGUAUUCACAGCAGUUAUACCUAUACAAGAAGCAAACCAAGACCUAGCACGAGCUGUGUCCAUUCAGGUAAUGUCUUGUACCAAGUCAGGAAUAUGGCCAUUGUUAUAUUAUAGUUCAUUUCUGUGUGUUUUAACGUUGUGUUUCCAUUGUGUCGUUUGUCUUCUCUUAAUUUUUAGUGUGAAUUCACAUUACUAUAAGACGUGUCACGGUACUUAAUUAUCCCAAAUUCAUGUAUUUGGUUUUGAUGUUAUAUUUGUUAUUCUCAUAGGAUUUUGUCUAAUGCUUAGUCCGUUUCUGUGUGUGUUACAUUUUAAUGUUGUGUCGAUGUUCUCCUCUUAUAUUUAAUGCGUUUCCCUCAGUUUUAGUUUGUUAACCCGAUGUUUGUUUUUUGUCCAUGGAUUUAUGAGUUUUGAACAGCGGUAUACUACUGUUGCCUUUAUUUAUACGGGUGUGCUAUGAAUUAAUUCAGUGAUACAAAUACUUAGCAAUAGGUUUUAUAAUCAAUUCCUAUUUAAUUCACUUCGGUACAAUAAACCUAAUUGAAAUAACCAUAUAUUUAAAAAUAAAAUACUAAAAAGAUUUAAAUCAAAUGUAAGAUUUAUUUCCUCCAGCACAUCAUAACAUGCUUUGAGUUUAAGUUAUUUUGUAUUUUAAAUAUGCUCUGAAUAUGAUUGACAAAGUGUAAGUUCAAAUCCUUUGUUAAACUCUUAGAUAUCAUUCAGCAAGAUUGUCUUAUCACUAUUAACUACACUCAGCCGUGAACAUAGGCAAUAUAUUCCCUUUGCAAUUGUCGUCACAUUAGAAUAUAAUGCAAUAUCCUUAUUUCCCAAUAAAAAUAUGAUUUCAAACCCUUUCAAGCAAAGUUGACUAUUAAUCUCAAAUUUUCAAAAUGAGCACACGAAUCAAUAAAGAAAGUUUCGUAUAAAUGUAAGGAUACCGGAUUUGGCUGAAUUACUUAAAAAACAAUGGUACACAUACCAAACAUCUUUCAUUCGUUGUAUACAUUUUCAAACCAAUUUAUUACUUGAUUUCCCACAAUUCCAGGUUCAUACUAAUAGAUUUUGAGUAACGCCACACACAAAACAAACCUACAAUCUCGUUUAGUCUAGUUAGUUUUCUUUCGAAAUAAUUCUGUUUUCGUUUGAUUGUUUAGGAAUGUUUAUACUGUAUGUCGUUUUCCUGCCUAAGAAUUAUUUUUUGCUCAUUUAAUAAAUUCUUUUAUCUAUUUCAGAAAAAAGUGAGAAGUAAGAAAUGCCUAUGUCUGGUUGUUCUGAUUGUUGGAGUAGUGAUUAUUAUUGCAAUACUAUUACCGGUACUUCAAUCUAGAAACAAUUGAUAAGGUAGGCUUGCGACACUAUUACAAUACUUAUUUCUUUAAACAAUUGAUAAGGUAGGCUUGCGACACUAUUGCCGGUACUUCUUUCUAGACACAAUUGAUAAGGUAGGCUUGCGACACUAUUACCGGUACUUCUAUCUAUAAACAAUUGAUAAGGUAGGCUUGCGACACUAUUACCAGUACUUCUUUCUAUAAACAAUUGAUAUGGUAAGCUUGUAACACUAUUACGGGUACUUCUUUCUAUAAACAAUUGAUAAGGUAGGCUUGCGACACUAUUACCGGUACUUCUUUCUAUAAACAAUUGAUAAGGAAGGCUUGUAACACUUUUACCGGUACUUCUUUCUAUAAACAAUUGAUAAGGUAGGCUUGCGACACUAUUACCGGUAGUUCUAUCUAUAAACAAUUGAUUAGGCUUUUCGACACUAUUUACUGUCUAUCUAUAAACAAUGAUAAGGUAGGUUGCGACACUAUUUCCGGUACUUCUAUAUAAACAAUUGAUAAGGUAGGCUUGCGACACUAUUAUACUUCCACUUACUACUUCUAUCUAUAAACAAAUGAUAAGGUAGGCUUGCGACAUUAUUACCAGUACUUCUAUCUAUAAACAAUUGAUAAGGUAGGCUGGUGACAGUAUUACCGGUACUUCUAUCUAUAAACAAUUGAUAAGGUAGGCUUGCGAUACUAUUACCAGUACUUCUAUCUAUAAACAAUUGAUAAGAUAGGCUUGCGACAUUAUUACCGGUACUUCUAUCUAUAAACAAUUGAUAAGGUAGGCUUGUAACACCUUCUUCAAUACUAAUACCAAUACUUCUUUCUAUAAACAAUUGAUAAGGUAGGCUUGCAACACUUAUUACCAGUACUUCUAUCUAUAAAAAAUUGAUAAGGUAGGCUUGUGACACUAUUACCGGUACUUCUAUCUAUAAACAAUUGAUAAGGUAGGCUUGUAACACCUUCUUCAAUACUACCAAUUCUAUAAACAAUUGAUAAGGUAGGCUGCAAUACUAUUACUCUACGAUCUAUAAAUUGAUACGGUAGGCUUGCAAUACUAUUACCAGUACUUCUAUUUAUAAACAAUUGAUAAGGUAGGCUUGUGACACCUUCUACAAUACUAUUACCGGUACUUCUAUCUAUAAACAAUUGAUAAGGUAGGCUUGUGACACUAUUACCGGUACCUCUAUCUAUAAACAAUUGAUAUGGUAGGCUUGCGACACUAUUAUCAGUACUUCUAUCUAUAAACAAUUGAUAAGGUAGGCUUGCGACACUAUUACCGGUAUUUCUAUCUAUAAACAAUUGAUAAGGUAGGCUUGCAAUACUAUUACCAGUAUUUCUAUCUAUAAACAAUUGAUAAGGUAGGCUUGCGAUACUAUUACCGGUACUUCUAUCUAUAAACAAUUGAUAAGUUAGGCUUGCAACACUAUUACCAGUACUUCUAUCUAUAAACAAUUGAUAAGGUAGGCUUGCGACACUAUUACCAGUACUUCUAUCUAUAAACAAUUGAUAAGGUAGGCUUGCGACACUAUUACCAGUACUUCUAGAACAAUUGAUAAGGUAGGCUUGCGACAUUAUUACCGGUACUUCUAUCUAUAAACAAUUGAUAAGGAUAGCUUGUUGUUCGGUGUGAGCUAAGGCUCCGUGUUGAAGGCCGUACUUUAACUAAUGGUUUACUUUUUAAAUUGUUUAUUUGUUAUGGAGAGUUGUCUCAUUGGCCAUACACCACAUCUUCCUAUAUCUAUUUGUAACACCUUCUUCAAUACUAAUACAUACUUUCUUGAUAAGUAGGCUGCAAUAUAACUUCAGUGACUUUACUUCUAUCUAUAAACAAUUGAUAAGGUAGGCUUGUAACACCUUCUUCAAUACUAAUACCAAUACUUCUUUCUAUAAACAAUUGAUAAGGUAGGCUUGCAAUACUAUUACCAGUACUUCUAUCUAUAAACAAUUGAUAAGGUAGGCUUGUAACACCUUCUACGAUACUAUUACCAGUACUUCUUUCUAUAAACAAUUGAUAAGGUAGGCUUGCAAUACUAUUACCAGUACUUCUAUUUAUAAACAAUUGAUAAGGUAGGCUUGCGACACCUUCUACAAUACUAUUACCGGUACUUCUAUCUAUAAACAAUUGAUAAGGUAGGCUUGUGACACUAUUACCGGUACAUCUUUCUAUAAACAAUUGAUAAGGUAGGCUUGCAACACUAUUACCGGUAUUUCUAUCUAUAAAUAAUUGAUAAGGUAGGCUUGCAAUACUAUUACCAGUAUUUCAUUCUAUAAACAAUUGAUAAGGUAGGCUUGCGAUACUAUUACCGGUCCUUCUUUCUAUAAACAUUUGAUAAGGUAGGCUUGCGACACUAUUACCAGUACUUCUUUCUAUAAACAAUUGAUAAGGUAGGCUUGCAACACCUUCCACUUACGUACUUCUUUCUAUAAACAAUUGAUAAGGUAGGCUUGUGACACCUUCCACUUACUAUAAAAUAUUGAGAAAACAUGUUUUUAUUACCAGUAGUAAAUCAAGGAUUUAAAUAGGCAGGAUGCUUUAUUCAUAUCGUUUAUAAUUGAUUUUUUCAAUCCCACAAUGCAUUACACCAGGGUUUCCCCUUUGGAAUACACGUCAAACUCACACUUUAUCACUUAUGACAACAAUAUGUACACGUCAAGCCUAACAUUAAAAUGAUAGGUUAAUCAAAGAUGCUUAUUUAAAAGAUGGACUCCAACUUCAAAUAACACAAAUCAAAAGAAGAGAGACAAACAGAAGACAGAGACGUAUACGAAUGGUGGUUUUCUCAGAAAACACAUCAAUGCCCUGCUUCAUAUUGAAUACAAACUACAUAAUAAGACACAUUGAGAUUAUAACAUACACUGUCUCCAAAGUUUCUUUGUAUUAACUUUUUGGUUAUAAAACGGCGAGUUAUGGUGUCUGGAGAUUAUGUAAACAAACUUGGUGACCUUCUUCUCUGGUCGGGUUGUUGUCUCUUUGGCCUCAUUUCCAUUCUCAAUUUUAUUCAUUUUUGUUUGAUACAAUGGUAAUGUAUAAUUCGAAAUAUUAAUGAUUUUCUUAUCCCAGGCAUAAAUUACCUUAGCCGUAUUGGGCACAACUUGAAUUUGUGGUUCUCAAUGCUCUUCAACUUUAUACUUGUUUGACUUUCAGACUAUUUUGAUUUGAGCGUUACUGAAGAGUCUUCUGUAGUAAAAACGCACGUCUGACGUAUUAAUUUAUAAGUCUGGUACCUUUGAUAACUACUGAACUGACCAAACUAUUUGUAACGAUUAAAUACUGUAUUUUUUUUGUAGAGGUAAAUUACAGAGUCAUGUGGUACUUCUCCAUUGGUCACAAUAAGCUGGACUUUCUGAAGAAAACCCUGGCAGACUAUGUCCUUUAUAUACACCAGUACAGACAGAACUGAAUAGACAUUAUGAUUAACUAAGCAUUCAACUUCAUAAAACGUGUCUCUCUUUCAUACCAAUGAUAUAUACAGCUGUUUGAAAUAAUGAU